GUCGACAGAGGUAUUCGGAUGACGACAACACCCACUGCAAUCAGUGUCUCAUCCAAACUGCCAUAAUGAUUGGAAAAAAAAUUGCGAUGCGAUCUGGUAAUUUUAUUCCUUAAAUUUAGCUCACGAUUAAAUAUCUUGUAAACACAAAA